rnacentral:rRNA from 1 species
UACGGGGGGAGCAAGCGUUGUUCGGAUUUACUGGGCGUAAAGCGCACGUAGGCGGCUUUCUAAGUCGGGGGUGAAAUCCUGGAGCUCAACUCCAGAACUGCCUUUGAUACUGAAGAUCUUGAGUUCGGGAGAGGUGAGUGGAACUGCGAGUGUAGAGGUGAAAUUCGUAGAUAUUCGCAAGAACACCAGUGGCGAAGGCGGCUCACUGGCCCGAUACUGACGCUGAGGUGCGAAAGCGUGGGGAGCAAACAGG